UAGCUUCCUCACCUCUAUUAAAGUGCAGCACACAGCCGCUUCCCUGAGCUUUUCUAUGGAACCUUCCAGGACUAUCUCCCAUGAAGUGAUGAGACAGUCCCAAACAGGGCUAUCACAAGCCCAAAACACUGAGUCAGUUUAGAGGCCAAUGUAGAACAACUCAAAACUCAAAUAUUGUCAUAUGUGUUUUUAAUAAUCUUGGUAGCUACUUUUACUUCAAGUAAUGUGUCUCUUCAUGUCAAAUUUGAAGUUGUGUCUUAAAGGGACACACAUCCCUAAUGAUUGUCUAUGCAACUGUAGUCUUACAUGUCAUCAAAAUGUACAGUCAUAGCUAACUAGCUAUAUUUAUGUGACCAUAAAUAGAAACAGGGAGAUAUUAGUUUGAUACCGCAUCCUAGAUCUCAAUGUCAAGUUAGCAACUCUGACUUUUGCUAGUUUUUAAACACCAGGUCUCAAUGUUGAUUUAGAUCAGAGCUCCAUUUCUUCAACAGCUCUUCCACAGGGAGCUAUACAGUCAAACAGGAUCUUUUGAUGACAAUGACAUAUUCAUUACCAGCUGUCAUCACUCUGUUCAGAGUUCAAAGAAACAUCUUCCUUUACAGAGAAAAGAAUGAUCCAGCAUCACCCAGCCUCUAAUAUCAAUCUUUCUCUUUCAUCACACCUCAGAUCUCCCAUCAUAGAUGACUUCUCCCCCUACUCUACCCUCUCCUCUUCACUCCCCCACAAAUGAUGCAUUGCCUUUGCUCUUUGUUUUAGCUUGCAGAACCUGUGGCUCAUUUGGAAGCUGAGAUAUUGUACUCCCAUGCAGUCACAGAGUGAGGAAGUGAAGUCAGGUACUGUGGAUGAAGUUUGAGUGUAGGUGUGCAGAGUUUCUCUGUUCAAGUGUUUCCAAACACAAUAUUGGUAGCUGGGGUGCUGUAUAAUACUAAUGUGUAUACCUAUAAUUAAUCUCUAUAAUUUAAUUAUUUUCAAAGUGGAAAAUUCUUACAGUAUUUAGAGCCUCAUUAGAGGUGAUUGGAAAGUGUGAUCUGACACACACAUGCAGCAAACACAUGCAUCUGCAUAAAUCCAUUCAUGUUUUGCCUUGAACCUAAAACACUAAACCCAAACAACAUAUGUGGACAUUCGAACAGUACACUCAUGUUUGAUAGUCAUUUCAACACCAUGGGUCUUAAAGGAGUUUGAGGUUUUGUCAUUUCCUGUUUUAUUUUGUAGUGUGUUCCUCUCCUUGUGUGUCCUGUGGGAUUACUUCCUGUCUUUGUUUGCUUUCCCUCCAGUUUUGAUUGUUGGUCCCUCCUUGAUUGUUUGCACCUGUGUCUUGUUGUCUCACCACUCGUAGGGUAUUUAGUCCAGGUCUUUUCCUUUGUUCAUUGUUGGAUUAUUGUGUGUUCCUGUCGUGUGUAUGUGUGUGCAUUUUUCGUUGUACUUUGUUCCUGUGAGUUGUUUGUAUGGAUUCUUUGUCUCCCUUGGACCGUGUCUGGAUUUUGGACUUUACACUUUGCAUGCUCCCUGUCAGAUUUGUUUAGGCUUGUUGGACUCUUUGCUUGGUUUCUACCACUGCCAGCCGGUAACCCAUUUCCUAUUCCUGGACCUGUAUCUGCCUACCUGCCUGUUACCUGUCUGUUGCCUGUCUGCCUACCAGUGUGUCUGCCUGCCUGUAAGCUACUUCACUCCAAUAAACACUGUAGCCAUCCAGCUACUUCAUCCUCAUACCGCUUCCUGGUUGUCUGCAUUUUGGUCCACAUGCUGCACCCCCAUAUGACGGGAAUGGUUUGAUAUUUUAAGAAAUACGCUUAUUCACGUUCUUGCCAAAAGUUAGAUGAGAAGAUCGAUUCCACUCUCAAGUAUAUACAGUGAAAAUAUUAAGUUACAGUCAGCAGCCAGUUAGCUUAGCUCAGCACAAAGGAAAAAGCUUGCACUCUGACGAAAAGGGAACAAAAUCCUGCACCUAAACACUGCAGCUUCAGUGCUUUUUGUCAUAUCCCCCCCCCAGAUGAACGAUUGGGAUGGCAAUAUUUCAUGGUCAAAUAUUUCAUGGCAAUUUGGUCUGUUGUCGACAGCUGUCAAGGUCCACAGGUCAACCAACAUUUGGAUACAGCAAAGCUCUUAAAUGAAAUUAUUACUGACUGAGAAGAGAUAAUAUGAACUGUAUGAGCAAAAGAAAGAAGCGAAGAUAAAACAUAGUCAACUCAAACUUGAAUCCAUUAUAUACAAGACUGUCCUUCCAAGAAGAAUAGAUUCAGUCAUUUCAACAAGUGCCCCAAAACAUCGGACCGUAGUAUAGGAGACUGCUGUUCAUUUCCCAUUUCAAACGGACAGUCAGCGUUGUUUUCGACAACCACAGUAUUUCCCUAAAAUUAACUAUGUGGUUAUUGUUGUAACCAUGAUGACAAAGCUCCCUUAACCUUAAAAACGUAUUUAAUCAGUAAUUUUAACAGGAACCACAAUCCUACCCUAACCAUAAGAAAGUGCUUAUUUUAACCAAACCAUGACUUUUCCCUAAACCUAACCAAACCUUCACCAUAGUGUUGUCACAUCAUAGAAUGGAUGUAUUUCUUCAACAGUGAUUUGUAAUGGUUUUGGAAAGCACUGGCAAAGGAUGUUGUCCUGUCGAUAGGGGCAUCAGAUCAGAAAACACUUAUAUGUGUCAUUUUAAAGGGCAUGGACAAAUUAUGUAUUUUGUCAUUUAGGAGGACCUUUGUUAAUACAAACAGUAGACCCUACACUGAAGAUAAUUUGAGAAUUGCACACUUAACUAGGAAGAGAGUCACGCCUGUGCUCAUGUGGCACUGUCAUAAAGAAUGAAUAACUUAGUUUGAUGUCCUCGAACUCCUAAGAUUUGUUUAAAAUUUUAGCAUAACUCAAAUUAUCUUCACUGACCUUAUAUGCACAUUUGCCUGAAUGUUGGAACAUGACCCAUGUUGUUUUGUGCCAACACUAGGCCUAUAUAGAACAAAAACCCGAUGUUUUUGUUGGAUUACUUUGUUAUAUUUUAUAUUUUUCAUAUUGUUACUUAGCUAAGCAACUUAUCAGUAAAACUGCAUUACUUAGAUGUCAGACUAUCUCAAAAAUAAAAAAGUGAGUAAAUAGGCAUUUAAAAACAAUAUAAAUACAAAAAUGAUUCAGAAGGGGGGGCAAAAAAAGAGACCAAAAGACACAGAAGAGGAUAUUUCAAAAAUAGAUGCAUACAAACAAGAAAACAUAACUCUGGACCUCUGAACAGCUGACAGACUCUGAACUGAGGACCCGGGGCUCCAUAAGAGAGGUGUUGAAGAAAAACUUGAUGAGAUGGUCCUCAAUAAAGAAUAACUCUAAGAGCCUCAGUUGUCCUUACAUGAAUAUAUGGACUUACUAUAAACACACAUCUGUUGACAGAAGCACUGGGGCAGCAUGUACACAUGGGCACAGCCAACACAAGACUCUUAUAGCAGAACGGUGGGUGGUGGUUUACAGGUUACAUCAUCUGUCAUAAAUCAGUAGAAAGAUGAGACAAAGAAAGAAACCAUAACCCAAAACAACAUAAUCACAGGGCCUGAGGCCUCCUUUGUGAAACCAUACUUUAGUCAAAGUGUCAUAAAUUAUAUCACAUUCAUAAAACUAUUCAGAGGACACCAAAUUUCUCCAACAAGAGGACAACUAAAAUUUGAAAUCAAUCCUUAGCUUAGCAGGGAUCCAAUGAAAUAAGGCUAAAAGCAAUGUAUUGUUUAAUUUGUACACUGCGUAAUGUUCUGGACCCAAAAGCAGGACUCGGACAAAGGAUCUUUAACAGUUCAGUGCAGACGGAUUGAGGCAGGUGAACAGGUUUUUAAAGCAGUCAAGACAUGAUGUAAUAAAAGAAUGAAUGGCUUUUUUUAAAACCUUGGUUUUCAGCCUGAUAGAUUAGUAACUCUGACACACUCCAUCCAUUUCUGUGUGUCACAUUAGAAUAUGUGCCCACUCUGACAGAUCAAUGCCUUUGCCUCCUAUCCUCUCUCUCUCUCUCCAGAUAAUGGGGUUUAAAGGGGCCGGUCCCCUGAGACCAAUCCAGUAUGAGAUGUGAUGGGGGUGUGGGGUUGCUCUGGGAUGGAGGUGGGGUGCCCACCAUGUGUUAGUUUUGCGACAGAAACUCUGUCAUAAUUGAAUCAGCAUAUUUGAUCGACAGAGCCACAUUGCUGUAUUAAUCAGAGUAGGGUUACACUAUAGACCAUCUGCACAUUGACCGAGAGUGACAGAGGUCUUCAUCUCUGUCACUCCUUACAGUAAAUCAAUAUGCACUCUAGUCAAUGGACAGACAGGGUGUCUUCUGUCUUAUAUUAGGACACCCCCUAGUUUUGCAUUAAUUUGAUGCAAUAUUGUUCCAGUAUCAGUCUACAUAGAUGGAGACCUUAUUUCGAUAGAGCCACUCAGAUCUUGCAUAAAGCAGUAACAUCAGUGUUCUAUCACAGGCAGAGCAGACAGUCACAUUGAGUCAGACAGCAUCCUGCUAUACAACAUGAGAGCCACUUUGAACAACAACCCACAUUAGCUUUUCCGCACUCUGGAAACCUGCCAGCUGCUGUCAAUCAAAUACUGACACCAACACGACCCUCCAGCCAGCUGAGAUGAAAAGUCUCCACAGCUUAUAUGCCAGGCUCUCCCAUGACACCAACACCAGAUUGUCCCUGUACAUGGAUUGUCCUGUGCUGGUGAUCACAGCUCCUGUCGUUGCCUGGAUUCCUGUAGGCCUGUCUGCCUGCCUUUCCAGCAACCUUCACCUCGCCUGUCUGCAACAGUUCCACCUUGCCUGUCCACCACCACUCCACCUCGGAGCCAGACCCUCGACAUCUGCUCCGUGAUCUUGGUUCCGCUGACGGUUAGUAGUCCACACACCACUAUCAGCGCUACACCACGGCCAGCCAGAUCCACGCGGUACCACCUCACCCUGCUUCACAGACCAGGCUGCCGGUUCAGACCCACGCGGCGGCUAGACCCAGUCAGCGAGGUGACGCUGCAACCAGGCUCCGAGUUGGAACCACUGCUACUCUCCCGGGGUUACCAAGUUCAACGCCGAAGGCUACGCUCUGAACUCCUACACCCCUUCCCACUAUUCCUGCUAACGUAUAAUAAAGUGUGAAUUGGGUUAUAAAAACUAUUGAUGUGUUGUGCAUUUGUAGAUUUCGAAGAUCGUACAUACGACAGUGUAAACUUAUUGAACACGAAGAUUGAAUUUUCUGUUGUAUUUUAAUACCCCAUUCAUUAUGCCAACAUUGCAUUACGCUAUAACUCCAAGGGCCUGUAAAGAUGCCACUUUUUUCCUUCACAACAUGUAAAAUAUAUGUUGACAUUUAAAAAAUAAAUGAAAAGGUUUGCCAAGAAUGAAGGACAUUGAGACUGUCUCACAUGUUUUUCAAGGAGCAGCAUUAUGUAUUAUAUAGCACUAUAUUUAUCAGUCCAAAUCCAGUAUCUGUUAAUGUUGGAUUAGUGUAACUGCUCAUGUAUGGCUCCCAUUGCUGAUAUUGUCCAUUUUAAAAAAACAAAACACAACUUUGCAGAUUGUACCAUAGAUGAUUUUAUCCACCUGCUACUGUGUGCUGUAUACUGUGCAUUUGCUAUUGCCCCCCCAAAUUGGUAUUAGUCCCACUGCCUGUCUGGAGAAAUUCCAAUUUUCCCCUGUAGCCUUCUGGUCUGAUGGAAAGCUGUGCGGUUCCUGAUUCCAUGCAACAUACAUUCUUUAAUCUGCUGCCCACUUUUUGUCAAGAUGUCUUUUAACUUUAACAUUGACCGUCAUACGCUACCUGUUGAUGUUGUCCUGUCCAGUUGUAUUGCACAAUCUCAUACCCUGAGUUUUGUCUUGCUUUUAUCGGAUUAACCUGCUCCAUCCUACACCGCACUAGGGGGUCUGACAAUGCUCCUGUGACCAGUGCUCCUAACAGCUUGCGCCCACGUACUAUACAGUGCGGGAAUACCACACCUUCUGCCACAUUAACUAAUAUGUCAAGAUUCUUGGCAAACCUGCCCAUUGUCACUCCAUCCCUUGUUACCUCAAGCCAUUUUUAACCACACAAUAUGCAAAACGGGCUCCUUCAUUAUUGCAUGUGUCUGCGUCAAAGCUUGGAAUGGGCAUUAUUUGAGGGAUUCUUCUAGAGUUAUAACAUGUUACACAAG